rnacentral:lncRNA from 1 species
CCUGCCUCAGGGCUAAAUACCCCAAAGAGGAGGUGAGGAGAAAAGCGCGAGGCUGGAACUUCGAGGUAGUGGAAAGUGGUGUAGGCACGGCGGGUGUUAGCAGCGGGAAGCGGAGCUGCGCCUGAGGAGGGGCCCCGCGCUGCGAGCGCGGGUAUCCUGGGGCAGCUGCGACGCGAGGGAAGGAGCCGCGCUGCAGCAGGGGACGGGCGUGACGAGGGCGGAGUGGUGGGGAGGCACGGCCGCGUGCUGACCCAGUCCAAAGCAAUGGGGAGGUCACCAUGGAGGUCAGUCUGCAGUGCUCCUGAGAUGUCAGUUAGCAGAUGUUGCACCUAGUGAUCCUCCCUGCACUCCUGUGACGAACUGUUCACAGGUUGUCACAGAUUAAUUCCUACAAGGAAAUGUCAUGCACAUGGCAAGUGAGAUGUGGAGAAGAUGCUGAUUGUGAACAUUGCUGCACUUUUUCCUCGUUUU